rnacentral:rRNA from 1 species
GACGAACGCCGGCGGCGUGCUUAACACAUGCAAGUCGAGCGGUAAGGCCCUUUCGGGGGUACACGAGCGGCGAACGGGUGAGUAACACGUGGGUGACCUGCCCUCAGCUCUGGGAUAAGCCUGGGAAACCGGGUCUAAUACCGGAUAUGACUCCAUGACGCAUGUUGUGGGGUGGAAAGCCUUGUGCGGCUGAGGAUGGGCCCG